AUUGUUUGAACCGAGAUCCAGCAUUUUUUAAGAAAACAAAAUUUGUUGUUGAUAAGUUUCAUUGGAAAAAUCAUUCAGGAUGCUGCGAAGGAUAUAACAUGAAAUUGUAUCCCACGCUCAAUAUGUACAAUAGUCAAGCUGCUGAACAGUGCAAUUCGUGUAUUAAGCCUCCAUGGUUUCUUACAUGGAAUACGAUAACUUUUUUCUUUUUACAAAACUUCAUAUUUGGCACAGGAAUAUGUUACGCAUUGUUAAAUACAAUCCUGAGAGAGAAAUAGCCUAUAAACACUAUUUUCUCACUCUUAGUCGCGUUAUUCAUUAGUAACGCGUUAUAGUUUCGUUUUUCGAAAAAUUUAAACUUGUUUUUAUGAAUAGUUUUAUCUCUACAAAAUAUUACUUCAUAGUUACCCAUAUAGUUUCUGCAAAAGUAACAAUUACAUGUAACGUCGUUACUUGUAAAAAAAUUAUUUACAUCACUUGUUAUAAAUAUAAGAAUGUUAUUCAUAUGCA